rnacentral:rRNA from 1 species
AGUAUUGUGAAAGAAUUUUGAAAUAUUAUGAAAAAUAAAAUUUUUAGAAAGUAAUUUUUAUUUAUUGUAUCUUGUGUAUCAGAGUUUAUUAAAAAUUUUUAAUUUAUAAAUUAAUUUCUCGAAUUUAAAAGAGUUAAAUAAUUAUUAAAGUUAUUGUAGCAAAAUUAUUUUAAAUAAUUAUUUAGAAAUGAAAUGUUAAUCGUUUUUAAAUAUAUCUAGUUUUUAUAGAAAAAAAUUUAAUUUUAAAUUUAAAAAUUAUUUAAUUAAUUUAUUAAUUAAAUAAUUAUUUAAAUUUUAUAAUUUAAGGGAUAAGCUUUAAAUUAAAUUUUUAUAAUAUUAAAUUUUUAUUUUGAAAAUUUUAUAAUUUAUAUUGUUAAUAAAUUUUAUUUUGUUAUAAAUAAUUUCAUUUUUUUUAAAAUUUAAAUUUUAUUUAAUUUUUUAUAUAAAAUUUAUUUAUAAUUAUAUAAAGUUAAUUAUAAUGAUAAAAUUAGUAUAUUAUUUAAUAUUAAAUUAAAAUUAAUUUUUGAUUAAUAACUAAAUUAAUUAAAAGGAAUUCGGCAAAUAUUUAUUUUCACUUGUUUAUCAAAAACAUGUCUUUUUGUUAUUUAAUUUAAAGUCUAAUCUGCCCACUGAUUUAUAAAAAUUGAAGGGCUGCAGUAUAUUGACUGUACAAAGGUAGCAUAAUCAUUAGUCUCUUAAUUGGUGACUUGUAUGAAAGAUUGGAUGAAAAAUAUACUGUCUCUUAGUUAAUAUAUAGAAUUUAAUUUUUUAUUUAAAAAGUUAAAAUAAUUUAAAAAGACGAGAAGACCCUAUAGAGUUUAAUAAAUUAUUUUAUGAAAGUUUUAUUUAUAUUUACUAAUAAUUUUAUAAAUUUAUUUAUUUUGUUGGGGUGAUAAAAAAAUAAAUUUAACUUUUUUUAAGUAAUUUACAUGAAUAAGUGACUAAU